UUGAGCACGCAAGCAGCGUGUUCGGGUUUGCAGUGGAACCGAGUGACAGUAGAGAAAUAGAAGAAAUAGAAGCAUUUUGUCAAUCCCGGGGAAUUACUUACACAAGAGAACCAGUGUCUGUGCUUCUAUUGGGAAAUCUGCGCUCUCUUUCUGGUGUAGAUUUGCACCAACAGUGUUACUACUGUCAAGUGACCUAGCAGCACUAUCACUAUCAGCUCGGGACAGCGCACUGAGUUCGACUGGAGAGCUGAGACACCAGCUCCACUGCCUGCCUGCCCACCCAGACAAACUGUCACCUGUCUAUUGUGGGGCGCAGGACCUUUCUCCUACAUGCGCCUGCUGAGUUUGGACUCGUCUUCAGUGUUUAGUCUGCUAUCUUUUCUCUGGAGAAGGAUGCUGCAGCUUCCCUCGCCCUACCAACUGUUGCUUUAUUAGUUUGUGAGUGUCUGUGCUCAGGGGGCUGUGUUGCGCCCUUCACCUGCUUGUUUCAGGAGUGUCUGUUCUUAUUGACGAAUGUGAAAGUGAAUGCACCGCGCUUCCACCUGCUGUAGUUAACACGAUCUGCCUGUGCGCUGUGUACAGGAAGCGGGGUUGGUUUCGUGGGCGAUGCGCGACUUGGCAGUGACUCACCGCCUCGGUUGGUACUGAGAGCCUCUGUUCCUUUUUAAAGUUUCGCGAAGCGCUGCUGGGGAUUUCAAGUUGAAGUGGUGCUGCUGUUGAGAGCACACGGCCAGCAAAACACCGCGGAAGAAUACACCACCAAGGGUAACCAGGGUCCCCAGAGUGGUUUCAGAUGCGGCUUCGUGUUUACGCGCCCCUCCUAUGAACUUGAGAAAAGAGAGGGGUCUGCGAGGCGAGAACAACAGACAAAGCUGAACUUCGAUGAUAUAUUUGUAAACUGAAGAGUCGCUAGUUGACACUGCCAGUGUCGGGCGCUAUCCUUCCUCUCCAUCAAGCGGAAUAUACUACAGUAAUGGUUUUCCUUUGGGACGCCAAAUACGAUGCUGCCCCUGCGCGCAGGUUCACGCCGCCGUCCACCACUCUGAGCCCUGGCAAAAUAAGCGAAGGCUUACCGCUGGGGGGGCAGGAGAACAGCGCUGCCCUGGUGGGGAAACUACGCAUUACAGACCGGAGUGUGGUGGAGGUGCUGUCAGACCACCCCGGGGAGCUGGUCCGGACCGACAGCCCAAACUUUCUCUGCUCUGUCCUGCCGACACACUGGAGGUGCAACAAGACCCUGCCCAUAGCUUUUAAGGUGGUUGGCCUGGGCGACGUUCCCGACGGCACGCUGGUCACGGUGAUGGCAGGAAACGAUGAGAAUUACUCGGCAGAGCUGCGCAACGCCACGGCCGCCAUGAAGAACCAGGUGGCCCGUUUUAACGACCUGAGAUUCGUGGGGCGCAGCGGCAGAGGGAAAAGCUUCACACUGACCAUCACAGUGUUUACAAACCCGCCACAAGUGGCCACGUACCACAGAGCCAUCAAGAUCACUGUGGAUGGACCGCGGGAGCCAAGACGGCACCGUCAGAAGCUGGAGGAGCAGGGGAAGCCCGGCAGCCUGGCGUUCUCGGAGCGGCUGAGCGAGCUGGAACAGCUGAGACGCACCGCCAUGAGGGUCAGUCCACACCACAACCCCCGCCCAGCCCUCAACCACAGCACCCCCUUCACGGGACAGCCGCACAGCCAGAUACAGGAUUCCAGACAGAUGCAGGCAUCCCCUUCCUGGUCCUAUGAGCAGUCGUACCCGUACCUGGGUCAAAUCUCCACCCCGGCCGUCCACCCUGCCACCCCCAUCUCCCCGGGCAGGGCCAGCGGCAUGGCCUCCCUGACUGAGCUCUCCAGCAGGCUCUCUGCUGCUCCAGACCUGACAGCCUUCAGUGACCCCCGGAUGGCUAUCGAGAGGCAGUUUUCCACCCUUCCAGACAGCCGCUUCUCAGACCCCCGCAUGCACUACCCGGGAGCCUUCACUUACACCCCUACUCCCGUCACCACGGGGAUUGGGAUCGGCAUGUCAGCCAUGAGCAGCGCUGCUCGCUACCACACCUACCUGCCUCCCCCCUACCCUGGAGCAUCCUCGCAGGGGCAGACUGGUGCCUUCCAGACCAGCUCGCCCCCCUACCACCUCUACUACAGCACUUCCGCUGGCUCCUACCAGUUCUCCAUGAUGUCCGGGGGGGAGCGAUCCCCACCACGCAUCCUCCCUCCUUGCACCAAUGCCUCCACCGGCUCGGCGCUGCUCCACCCCAACCUCCCCAGCCAGAGCGAAGGGGUGGAGGCCGAGGGGAGCCACAGCAACUCCCCCACCAACAUGGCCGAGGCAGUGUGGCGGCCUUAUUGAAUCUGAGCAACUCCCUCACCAACAUGGCCGAGGCAGUGUGGCAGCCUUUUUGAAUCUGAGCAACUCCCUCACCAACAUGGCGUAGGCAGUGUGGCAGCCUUAUUGAAUCUGAGCAACUCCCUCACCAAAAUGGCUGAGACAGUACAGCGGCCUUAUUGAAUAUGAACAACUCCUCCACCAACAUGGCCGAGGCAGUAUGGCGGCCUUAUGGAAUAUGAACAACUCCCCCACCAACAUGGCCGAGGCAUUGUAGUGGCAUUAUUGAAUCUGAGCAAGUCCCCCACCAACAUGGCCGAGGCAGUGUGGCGGCCUUAUUGAAUAUGAAAUAAAAAAUAAAAAAAACACAGAGAUAAAAUCAAUGUUCGUUGCCACACUGAUUUUCUUUUUUAAUCAAAAUAUCUGUUGACUAUGCAAGAUAUUUGAGAAAAGUUGUGUUUUUUAUUAUUAUUAUUAUUAUUAUUAUUAUUAUUAUUAUGGACCACUAAACAUGUGGUGUAACGUAACUGGUUAAAAACUGUGAAUGAUUUACGUUCAGAAACGCUGUGAAUAGAUUUUUUUUGCAUUUUUUCAUGGGGAUGUCAUGUUUAUUGGAAGCUCUCCUCCUCCUCCUCCUCCCCCCCCCGAUGGUUUCCAUGCUCCUCCUCAAGACCUGCUUGGCUUCACAAGGGCUGGACUGAGCCAGACGUGGAUCUUAAGAGUUUAAAAUCGGUGCCAUGUGGCAUUUCGAAGACGUCUCUCCCAUCUUCCCUGGCAGGGCCCGCUGUGGAGCUGAGGACAUGCAGGAAUCCUAAACCGUAACGUGAAACCUCAGCUGGGUUAUCAGCGAGAUUAAGUUUAUAUUUAGUAAUUUAUUAUUUAUUUGAUUUAUUUGCAUUUUGAAUCUCUGACGCAAGCGAGAUGAAUGAGUGUCUGACCACCCUGACCACUCACCUCUACCCUCAACUCCUUGGCCUAGAUUGGAACCGAUUGUUUGUCUAAUGUUCCUAGCGCUUUGUGGCCCGUUGUACAGGGCAGGCCCCUAUCUGGAUAACUCUCAAUCCAUCACAACAGACAUUUGAAGUUUGUUCGGCUACUCAGGUCAAGGAGGUGCUGACUGGAAUUAAAACACCCUGCAGUGCUGUAGUCGCUGUAGUCAUAAAACAGUUAGUCGUGUUUGGACCCACAAACCAGGUUUCCCAGCCCACAGGAGCCUGCAGGGUUGCAGUGUGCUCCUUGUCACAUCAUGUGUGUCUCCCAUUGUGGUAAAAGCUUCCAAGAGCAGAAGGAAAGUUUUUGCUGAUAUUUUGUUUGUGGUUGAUGUGAUUUAUUUUGUUGACAUGUAUGUAAAUAGCUCCACAGUGUAAUUGUGUUAUUGACCCUUAUUACACAACACUUUGCUGUUUCACCUGGGUAACUAAUUGCCUAAUUGUGUUUCAUU